rnacentral:rRNA from 1 species
UACGGAGGAUGCAAGCGUUAUCCGGAAUGAUUGGGCGUAAAGAGUCCGUAGGUGGUUAUUCAAGUCGAUUGUUAAAGAGCGGGGCUUAACCCCGUAGAAGCAGUGGAAACUGAAUAACUAGAGAGAGGUAGGGGUAGAGGGAAUUCCCGGUGUAGCGGUGAAAUGCGUAGAGAUCGGGAAGAACACCAGUGGCGAAAGCGCUCUACUGGGCCUCAUCUGACACUGAGGGACGAAAGCUAGGGGAGCGAUCCGG